CUACGGGUUGCUGCAGUGGGGAAUAUUGCACAAUGGGCGAAAGCCUGAUGCAGCAACGCCGCGUGCGCGAUGAAGGCCUUCGGGUUGUAAAGCGCUUUUCUGAGGGAAGAGGAAGGACGGUACCUCAGGAAUAAGUCUCGGCUAACGUACGUGCCAGCAGCCGCGGUAAAACGUAGGAGGCGAGCGUUAUCCGGAGUUACUGGGCGUAAAGCGCGUGUAGGCGGUUUGGUAAGUCGGACGUUAAGGCCCUGGCUCAACUGGGGGAUGCCGUUCGAAACUGCCAGACUAGAGGGCAGUAGAGGGAGGUGGAAUUCCGGGUGUAGCGGUGAGAUGCGUAGAUAUCCGGAGGAACACCAGUGGCGAAGGCGGCCUCCUGGGCUGUCCCUGACGCUCAGACGCGAAAGCUAGGGUAGCGAACGGGAUUAGAUACCCGUGUAGUC
rnacentral:rRNA from 1 species